CCUACGGGAGGCAGCAGUGAGGAAUAUUGGUCAAUGGACGCGAGUCUGAACCAGCCAAGUCGCGUGAGGGAUGAAUGCCCUAUGGUUUGUAAACUUCUUUUAUAAGGGAAUAAAACGCGGGACGCGUGCCGUUUUGCAUGUACUUUAUGAAUAAGGAUCGGCUAACUCCGUGCCAGCAGCCGCGGUAAUACGGAGGAUCCGAGCGUUAUCCGGAUUUAUUGGGUUUAAAGGGAGCGUAGACGGGUUUUUAAGUCAGUUGUGAAAGUUUGCGGCUCAACCGUAAAAUUGCAAUUGAUACUGGCAGUCUUGAGUACAGUUGAGGUAAGCGGAAUGCGUGGUGUAGCGGUGAAAUGCUUAGAUAUCACGAAGAACCCCGAUUGCGAAGGCAGCUUACUAAGCUGUGACUGACACUGAUGCACGAAAGCGUGGGUAUCAAACAGGAUUAGAUACCCUGGUAGUC
rnacentral:rRNA from 1 species